rnacentral:rRNA from 1 species
CUAGCUACAGGCUUAACACAUGCAAGUCGAGGGGCAGCAUGGUCUUAGCUUGCUAAGGCCGAUGGCGACCGGCGCACGGGUGAGUAACACGUAUCCAACCUGCCGUCUACUCUUGGACAGCCUUCUGAAAGGAAGAUUAAUACAAGAUGGCAUCAUGAGUCCGCAUGUUCACAUGAUUAAAGGUAUUCCGGUAGACGAUGGGGAUGCGUUCCAUUAGAUAGUAGGCGGGGUAACGGCCCACCUAGUCUUCGAUGGAUAGGGGUUCUGAGAGGAAGGUCCCCCACAUUGGAACUGAGACACGGUCCAAACUCCUACGGGAGGCAGCAGUGAGGAAUAUUGGUCAAUGGGCGAGAGCCUGAACCAGCCAAGUAGCGUGAAGGAUGACUGCCCUAUGGGUUGUAAACUUCUUUUAUAAAGGAAUAAAGUCGGGUAUGGAUACCCGUUUGCAUGUACUUUAUGAAUAAGGAUCGGCUAACUCCGUGCCAGCAGCCGCGGUAAUACGGAGGAUCCGAGCGUUAUCCGGAUUUAUUGGGUUUAAAGGGAGCGUAGAUGGAUGUUUAAGUCAGUUGUGAAAGUUUGCGUUUCAACCGUAAAAUUGCAGUUGAUACUGGAUAUCUUGAGUGCAGUUGAGGCAGGCGGAAUUCGUGGUGUAGCGGUGAAAUGCUUAGAUAUCACGAAGAACUCCGAUUGCGAAGGCAGCCUGCUAAGCUGCAACUGACAUUGAGGCUCGAAAGUGUGGGUAUCAAACAGGAUUAGAUACCCUGGUAGUCCACACGGUAAACGAUGAAUACUCGCUGCUUGCGAUAUACUGCAAGCGGCCAAGCGAAAGCGUUAAGUAUUCCACCUGGGGAGUACGCCGGCAACGGUGAAACUCAAAGGAAUUGACGGGGGCCCGCACAAGCGGAGGAACAUGUGGUUUAAUUCGAUGAUACGCGAGGAACCUUACCCGGGCUUAAAUUGCAGAUGAAUUACGGUGAAAGCCGUAAGCCGCAAGGCAUCUGUGAAGGUGCUGCAUGGUUGUCGUCAGCUCGUGCCGUGAGGUGUCGGCUUAAGUGCCAUAACGAGCGCAACCCUUGUUGUCAGUUACUAACAGGUUCCGCUGAGGACUCUGACAAGACUGCCAUCGUAAGAUGUGAGGAAGGUGGGGAUGACGUCAAAUCAGCACGGCCCUUACGUCCGGGGCUACACACGUGUUACAAUGGGGGGUACAGAGGGCCGCUACCACGCGAGUGGAUGCCAAUCCCCAAAACCUCUCUCAGUUCGGACUGGAGUCUGCAACCCGACUCCACGAAGCUGGAUUCGCUAGUAAUCGCGCAUCAGCCACGGCGCGGUGAAUACGUUCCCGGGCCUUGUACACACCGCCCGUCAAGCCAUGGGAGCCGGGGGUACCUGAAGUGCGUAACCGCGAGGAGCGCCCUAGGGUAAAACUGG